AAGGUUAGGCAUGGAGUGUCUACCCCAAGCUGUACCAAAAGAGGUACUGAGAAAUUGAGCUUCUGUUUCUCUUUCACUUUUUAUUUGGUUACUGAAUAUAGGGUAUUCGGUGAGGUGUUUGGAUAUGCGACCGAUGGCAAUUCAUGUAACAUUAUUUCCUUUGAUAUUAGUAUUUGUCUGUAGUUUUGUGGAAUAUCAUCUAAUAGCUUUUAUCCACAACAGGCUCUGUUUCUUGAUUUCUACAUUGAAAAAAUAUGUAAUUAUUUGGAGUUUUUUGUUGUUGUAAUUUCUCUGAUUUUGUGGGUUUUUCUAUCCAGUAUCUUUUUCUUUGGUUGCAUGUUGAUGCAUGUUUUUUGUCUGACAUUUUAUUGCUUGGGGUAAGUGAUUUGGUGAGUUCAGAUUUACUAACCUUAUCUAAUUGCAAAUGUUUUGAGUUUCUCAUGCAUCUUCAGCUUUGUCUUUUUCACUCUUGAGGUAUCUGUCGUUGUUACCUAUCUGCAGGUUAGGGAUAAGCUCGCAGCCAAACUCAAGAGUGACCCAACCUGUUUGCUCUGUUUUUGGUGGGACUACAAUUCCAGAUUCGUAUAGCAACAUGUCUAAACUAUUCAAGUUGUCAAGAUGGGACACCUAUCUGGGCAAUGUUGGGAUGUCUAGGCUUGGGUGGAGACGUAGACUUAUGGAAGAGGGCGUUUGCCUCUAGAAGUGACUAAGCAGAGGGUCACGUAGCGGAACUUGGAUUUCAUAGAUCACAGAGAGCAGGGUGAUAGGUAUGUUUCCUCACUUUUACCAUUUUUGAACUUAGAUUAUUGAUAAAUUAAGCUCAGAGGCAGAACGUGGAAACAGUAUUGCCUGGUCUUCUAAAUUUUAAUCUCAAAGGCUGUUGGUCAUAGUUUAGAGGAUUAAGUUCCAAAAAUAGUUUGGAGUUUCGUUUUUACCAAGAUUCAUUCUUUUUCCAUUGUAUUUUCAAUUUGUAGGCUUAAAAAAACUUAAGUACCUUGAAUGUGUGGUUUAGGACUGAUGGAUUUUUUUGAAGCUUAAGUGAGUAUAAUGUCAAUAUACAAAUCUGAGGUGAGAAAUUAUAUACCAACUACAUAAUUACAAAGGGCACCAGUUUCACUUGAGGUCAUACCAAUGCUUUUGGGUUGUUUUUCAAGGUUUUGGAAUGAAAUAACUUUUUUUUUUUUACUAAAGAAACAUAAGUGAUGAUAACAAUUAUA